UACGAAGGGGGCUAGCGUUGUUCGGAUUUACUGGGCGUAAAGCGCGUGUAGGCGGGUCGUUAAGUUGGGGGUGAAAUCCCGGAGCUCAACUCCGGAACUGCCUUCAAAACUGGCGACCUGGACUCAAGCAGAGGCAAGUGGAGUUGCGAGUGUAGCGGUGAAAUUCGUAGAUAUUCGCAGGAACACCAGUGGCGAAGGCGACUUGCUGGACUUGUAGUGACGCUGAGACGCGAAAGCGUGGGGAGCAAACAGG
rnacentral:rRNA from 1 species